UGGAUUUUGGAUGAGGAGGAAUCUUUCCUCUUCUUGUUUCAGAGACCUCUUUCUCCCUCUGCUUGGAAGAUCUUCUGUUAGGAAGGACUAUUUUCUUCCUGGCAGAGCUCAGCUGUGAGGUCUGGGUGAUGGGAUUUCUCUUUUCAGGCUGAAGCCUCAUCAAAAGCAUUUUUAUUUUUUCCUUCAGUUGGAGAAGGCAGCUGAUCUUCCUUCUUGGAUUUAUUCGGCUUUUUCAUAAUCAGUGCUUGCAUUUAAUUGGCUUUUGUGUAUUUGGCAUUAAACAAAAUCACCUAGAUAAAUUAAUCACCUAGAUAAAUGUAGUUACAAAUGGAUUCUCAAAGUUUAAAGGCAUGCCAAGAUAUUUUUUGUGACUCUAGCUGGUAGCAUGUUCAAAUAUUAUAGAGAUCAUUCAACACUCUAUUCUUAGGCCAGACCCAAUCUUAUAAACAUU
rnacentral:lncRNA from 10 species